rnacentral:rRNA from 1 species
GGAGCAAUCCCUAAGUAAAGUGGCGUACGGGUGAGUAACACGUGGAUCAUCUACCUUCUAGUGGGGAAUACCCCUGGAAAACCGGGGAUAAUACCGCAUAAGCUCGUGAGAGGAAAGCAGCAAUGCGCUGGAAGAGGAGUCCGCGGCUGAUUAGCUAGUUGGCGGGGUAACGGCCCACCAAGGCGAAGAUCGGUAGCCGGCCUGAGAGGGCACACGGCCACACUGGCACUGAAACACGGGCCAGACUCCUACGGGAGGCAGCAGUGGGGAAUCUUGCACAAUGGGGGAAACCCUGAUGCAGCGACGCCGCGUGAGCGAUGAAGCCCUUCGGGGUGUAAAGCUCUUUCGACGGGAACGAUAAUGACGGUACCCGAAGAAGAAGCUGCGGCUAACUACGUGCCAGCAGCCGCGGUAAUACGUAGGCAGCGAGCGUUGUUCGGAGUUACUGGGCGUAAAGGGUGUGUAGGCGGUUCUCUAAGUUUGGUGUGAAAUCUCCCGGCUCAACUGGGAGGGUGCGCCGAAUACUGAAGGACUAGAGUACGGGAGAGGAGAGUGGAAUUCCUGGUGUAGCGGUGAAAUGCGUAGAUAUCAGGAGGAACACCGGUGGUGUAGACGGCUCUCUGGACCGUAACUGACGCUGAGACACGAAAGCGUGGGUAGCAAACAGGAUUAGAUACCCUGGUAGUCCACGCCCUAAACGAUGCAU